GUGCUUGGGCGAGAGUAGUACUAGGAUGGGUGACCCCCUGGGAAGUCCUCGUGUUGCAUCCCUUUUAUU
rnacentral:rRNA from 1 species